rnacentral:rRNA from 1 species
GGGAGGGGGCGCUACCAUGCAGUCGACGGUGACACGGAGCUUGCUCUGUGGGAUCAGUGGCGAACGGGUGAGUAACACGUGAGCAACCUGCCCCUGACUCUGGGAUAAGCGCUGGAAACGGCGUCUAAUACUGGAUACGAACCAUGAAGGCAUCUUCAGUGGUUGGAAAGAUUUAUUGGUUGGGGAUGGGCUCGCGGCCUAUCAGCUUGUUGGUGAGGUAAUGGCUCACCAAGGCGUCGACGGGUAGCCGGCCUGAGAGGGUGACCGGCCACACUGGGACUGAGACACGGCCCAGACUCCUACGGGAGGCAGCAGUGGGGAAUAUUGCACAAUGGGCGCAAGCCUGAUGCAGCAACGCCGCGUGAGGGAUGACGGCCUUCGGGUUGUAAACCUCUUUUAGCAGGGAAGAAGCGAAAGUGACGGUACCUGCAGAAAAAGCGCCGGCUAACUACGUGCCAGCAGCCGCGGUAAUACGUAGGGCGCAAGCGUUAUCCGGAAUUAUUGGGCGUAAAGAGCUCGUAGGCGGUUUGUCGCGUCUGCUGUGAAAUCCGGAGGCUCAACCUCCGGCCUGCAGUGGGUACGGGCAGACUAGAGUGCGGUAGGGGAGAUUGGAAUUCCUGGUGUAGCGGUGGAAUGCGCAGAUAUCAGGAGGAACACCGAUGGCGAAGGCAGAUCUCUGGGCCGUAACUGACGCUGAGGAGCGAAAGGGUGGGGAGCAAACAGGCUUAGAUACCCUGGUAGUCCACCCCGUAACGUUGGGAACUAGUUGUGGGGUCCAUUCCACGGAUUCCGUGACGCAGCUAACGCAUUAAGUUCCCCGCCUGGGGAGUACGGCCGCAAGGCUAAAACUCAAAGGAAUUGACGGGGACCCGCACAAGCGGCGGAGCAUGCGGAUUAAUUCGAUGCAACGCGAAGAACCUUACCAAGGCUUGACAUAUACGAGAACGGGCCAGAAAUGGUCAACUCUUUGGACACUCGUAAACAGGGUGGUGCAUGGUUGUCGUCAGCUCGUGUCGUGAGAUGUUGGGUUAAGUCCCGCAACGAGCGGCAACCCUCGGCUAUGUGCCAGCACGUAUUGUUGGGACUCAUGGGAUACUGGCGGGUUCACUCGGAGAUGUGGAUGACGUCAAUCAUCAUGGCCCCUUAUGUCUUGGGGCUC